UUUCUCUUCCUGCUGCAUAACCUGUUUUGGGGAUCCGAGGAGGAGGCUCCUUUCACCCCAGGGAAGAACUCUGCAUGGAUCUACUGCAGGAGCUGGAGAGCUGGAAAACCUGAGACCCAGGAGCAGAGACCUGCCUGAUGACAUGCCUCGAGGGGAACAGAAUCAACCCUGGAACCCAGGCCCACCCCACCCAGCACCCCUGUAGGUGCCUGGCCUGUGUGCAUGAGAUGGGAGUGGAGAGCGGAGGAAACUCUUGAACGGUCAGAAACAAGAGUCCAGAGUCCAUGAAACCACACCAGCCGACAAUCUGUCACUCAGUCAACAAACAUUAAUUGAGCAGCUACUCUGUGCCAGGCUUCUAGGUACAUGGGAUGCAACGGUCAAGCAAACGAACACCUCGGCUUUCAAGAAGCUUACAUUCAAGGGAGAGUUCUCAUUGUCCUGUGAUAAAACGCGGGGAGACAGAUGAUGAAAAGCCCACCUGACCUCAUCCAGGAAAGGGUCUCCUCCAGUUCGUUCAUAAACAUGGAAACUGGAGGCUGUGCCCGAGAAUUAACAUUGUCCGCAUGAAAGGCUGAGGGAACGAAGUCCCCAGUGACCGGGAGAUGCAGAGAAGCUUUGAGGUGACUUUUCUGGAAUGCUUUAAACUUAGGGACCAAUCAUUUUCUUGCAGUUCAGCCAGCCUGGAGGCCAAGGGAUGAAGCAUUUGACAUCUGUAGGAGUUCCUGUUGUGGCUCAGUGGGUUAAGGAACCCGACAUUGUCUCUGUCGAGGAUACAGGUUCGAUUCCUGGCCUCACUCAGUGGAUUAAGGAAGGGUCUGGCCUUGCAGAGCCUCAGAUCCCGUGUGAUGGUGGCUGUGGUGUAGGCCUCAGCUGGAGCACUCAUUUGACCCCUGACCUGGGAACUUCUAUAUGCUGCAGGUGCAGGAGUAAAAAGAAGAAAAGAAAAAUUUGACACCUGUAACCUCAGAAACUCAAAGCAACAGGUCCCACCUCUAGUGAGAGGGCGCCUACUCUCUUUUACCUUCACCUUGGUUCCAAGCUUGUGAAGCUGCUGGGUCCCCUGCCUGCCACCUGCUUGCCGCAGACCCCAGCAAAGAGGAGGACGGGCGCUGGAGCUGAGAUCCAUUUUACAGGGAGCCCCAGAGCCUUCUGGGCUGAGUCUGGGCUCUCGUCCUGGGAAGACAGAUUCCACGAAUGGGAUUUUGCUCUGCAAUGGCUCCAUUGUGCUCCCAGUGGCGCCAGGGCGGUUGGGUGGCGCGGCGAGGCUGCGCUCUGAGCCGGUGUGAAGAAGGUACCUCUGGCCUCGGCACCGCCUGGACCCAUCAACAGGCCUGGCGUGGAGCCUCCUGCUGGCAUUUUCCACGCCGGAUUGUGCUUCAGCCAGACUUCCUGUGCAGAGCUGGCCCGUCGUGAGGCCUGCGGGGGAGGGCAGGAGGAGGAGGGUGAGCCCUGGGGCUGCUGCCUGGUGGACAAACAAGAUGUUUAUUCAGGGGAGAAGGAGGAGGAGGCCCGGGAACGAAGCUGCUGGUGCCUGGGUCUUUCCUUCCUGCCUUCCCCGCCUUGCUCUGCACACACACACAGCACUGCACCGGGGGCAGCGCCCAGGACAUCAACCCUGAAGGACUUGAGGACAGACAGACGGACACACAUACUCACACCAUACAACAAGGGGAUCCCGUGGACAAGCCUGUGUUCACAUUUCUGACAUAACCUUCCUAAACACACACACACACACAUACACACACACACUACCUUUGCAUUUUAAAGUCAAUUAACCCUGGCAAAACAGAGUUAAAGGGGUGGCACUUGUCCAAGGGCGUCACAGCAGCCACCAAUGCCAAGAUGGAGAAUCAGUCCAGAGACGGAAGGAGGUGGUGGCUGGCAUGGGGGUGGGGUUGCCAGGUUUGUGAUGUGGCGCCUCUGGGGUGAACAGAUUGGGCCUUGAUCUUGGAUACUGUCCUGGGAGGCUGCAGGGAUGAAGGUGCCUCCCUGGACUAAGGAGCUGGGCUCUGGGGCCCCCUGCAGAGACAGAACCUGAGAGUGGACAGAUGGACAGAUGGACUCCUAGAGGGAAGCUGAGGUGCCCCAGGGCCUCGCCCCUCAAAGUGGAUCACAGCUGGCAGCACGGCAUGGAAGCUUCUUAGAAAUGCAGCAUCUCGGGUCCAACACAGACUUACUGAGUCAGAGCCUGGUUAUCCAUUUACAUAUUCAAGUUCUGGAGGCUUUUCUCUAGAUGCUUCCUGGACCCUGAAUGAGGGUUUCCUUGUGGACAAGGCAUGAAUGACAACAUCGCUCUUAGCAGAUUCCCUUCUCGGAGUCUGCAAGUCGCCGUGUGAGGUCAGCCCAGCCAUCUCCCAGACUGCAGGUACGGCUGGCUCCGCCUGUGGUCUGCCAGAUGUAUUUAUUCAUUCAUUUCACAGUUGUUUGCUGUGCACCAUAUCAUAUCAUUUGAGAUAUGAUAAGCCAAAACCAGACGUGGUUCCUACUCUUGUGAAGUUUUCAGGCUUGAGGGAUUGGCCGAUAAGGCUUUCCUGAAGAAGUGGUGCUUGAGCUUUUGAAGAGGCGACUUUGGUGAAGAGGAGAGAGAAAUGUAUUCCAGGCAGAGAGAACAGCACAAGCAAAGGCCCUGGGGUAAGAUGGAGCAUGGCUGGUCUGAGGAACUAAAGAGCAGUACAGCUGGAGAGGGCAGAGAGCAAGAAAGACCAUUGUAUUAGUGAGACUGGGUGUAACAAUUUCCAGGGAGCCAGAGUUCCCUGGUGCCUGCCAUAGCCCUUGAUGGUUUCAGAGAAUCCUAGAAUGUCAGAGAUGGAAAGAACUUUGGGCUUCAUCCAGGCCAGUGCUUGAACCUGGCUUCAAGCCUUAGCUCCAUCAUAAAUUAACUGUAAAUGUGACCCUGGGUCAUGGGUUUCUCAUGUGAAAAGUGUUAGGGGUGCAAGAAAUGACACCCACUUUGCCUAGGCUGGGAGUAGCUCAUGUAAGACUUCUCUGAAGAGUUAUUUUAGUUAGGAUGCGUGUUAGGCUGCUAUUAAAAAGAGACCCCAAAAUAUAGUGGCU
rnacentral:lncRNA from 1 species